rnacentral:rRNA from 1 species
GUAGGUGGCAAGCGUUGUCCGGAAUUAUUGGGCGUAAAGCGCGCGCAGGCGGUUCUUUAAGUCUGAUGUGAAAGCCCACGGGCUCAACCGUGGAGGGUCAUUGGAAACUGGAGAACUUGAGUACAGAAGAGGAAAGCGGAAUUCCACGUGUAGCGGUGAAAUGCGUAGAGAUGUGGAGGAACACCAGUGGCGAAGGCGGCUUUCUGGUCUGUAACUGACGCUGAGGCGCGAAAGCGGGGGGAGCAAACAGGAUUAGAUACCCUGGUAGUCCACGCCGUAAACGAUGAGUGCUAAGUGUUAGGGGGUUUCCGCCCCUUAGUGCUGCAGCUAACGCAUUAAGCACUCCGCCUGGGGAGUACGGCCGCAAAGGCUG